GAUGAACGCUGGCGGCGUGCCUAAUACAUGCAAGUCGAGCGAACAGACGAGGAGCUUGCUCCUCUGACGUUAGCGGCGGACGGGUGGGUAACACGUGGAUAACCUACCUAUAAGACUGGGAUAACUUCGGGAAACCGGAGCUAAUACCGGAUAAUAUAUUGAACCGCAUGGUUCAAUAGUGAAAGACGGUUUUGCUGUCACUUAUAGAUGGAUCCGCGCCGCAUUAGCUAGUUGGUAAGGUAACGGCUUACCAAGGCAACGAUGCGUAGCCGACCUGAGAGGGUGAUCGGCCACACUGGAACUGAGACACGGUCCAGACUCCUACGGGAGGCAGCAGUAGGGAAUCUUCCGCAAUGGGCGAAAGCCUGACGGAGCAACGCCGCGUGAGUGAUGAAGGUCUUCGGAUCGUAAAACUCUGUUAUCAGGGAAGAACAAAUGUGUAAGUAACUAUGCACGUCUUGACGGUACCUAAUCAGAAAGCCACGGCUAACUACGUG
rnacentral:rRNA from 1 species